rnacentral:rRNA from 1 species
CAGUUGCCAUCGGUAAGGCCGGGCGACUCUGGAUGGACUGCCGGCGACAAGCCGAGGAAGUGGGGACGACGUCAAGUCAUCAUGGCCCUUAUGUCCAGGGCGACACACGUGCUACAAUGGCCGGCACAACGGGAAGCGAAGGGGCGACCCUGAGCGGAUCCCACAAAAAGCCGGUCUCAGUUCGGAUUGCAGUCUGCAACUCGACUGCAUGAAGUUGGAAUCGCUAGUAAUCGUGGAUCAGCCAAGCCGCGGUGAAUACGUUCCCGGGCCUU